AUAAAAUAAAAGGGAGAUGGAGAGGGAAAAACUAAAGGAAACUCUCGGUAGGAGAGACUGAACAAAGAAAUUCGGCUUCAGCAAAAUUGGGGAAGGAAAAAUCAAAUUUUGAAAAAAAAAAGAAUCUAAUCCUAUCACUGUCCCUUAAUUUCUUCUAUUUUUACUCCUUAAAUCUCUCCACAUGAAUCCCCACACAAUCCAAACAUCCCAAACCGUCCACAACCUCCCACACAUCUCAAACACUCAGUAUUUUACCACAUUUCAAACUCCUUCACGGCACAAGAACAAAAAAAAUCCCCUUUGCACAUACAGAGAUUCAAACUCAAGACCCCUAGCACACUAACACUCUACUUAACCAC
rnacentral:lncRNA from 1 species